UACGAAGGAUUCGAGCGUUAUCCGGAUUUAUUGGGUUUAAAGGGUGCGUAGGUGGACUAAUAAGUCAGUGGUGAAAGCCCGCAGCUUAACUGCGGAACUGCCAUUGAUACUGUUAGUCUUGAGUACAGUUGAGGUGGGCGGAAUGUGUCAUGUAGCGGUGAAAUGCUUAGAUAUGGAGGAACACCAGUGGCGAAGGCGACUUUCUGGUCUGUAACUGACACUGAGGCGCGAAAGCGUGGGGAGCAAACAGG
rnacentral:rRNA from 1 species